CCUUGGUGAAUUUUCAAGCGGGAAGUUUUCAGGGUCGAAAAUUUUCGCUGUCUCCAAAAAGUUACAGGCGCGCUUCCAAUUCCUGAAUGAAAGAAGGAUAUUGUGAUACCCAUCUUGUUCUUCUCUCACUUCGACUCUGACUCCGACUCCAACUCAAAUCUUCUCCGACUCAUACCCAUCGACUCUGACUCCGACUCAGAUCUUCUCCUCUGCUCCUGUUGCCUUCUCCACUGCUCCUAUUGUUUCAUGAAGCAAUUUGGUUGCUUUUCAUAUAUCUAUUUCAAGGAUUAGCUGGAGACGACGAAGAAGGAUUGACAAAUAAACGAUUGGCUUUUCGUAUUUCUGGGUCUGGGGGGUUUGGUUUCAAGCGUGAGUUCUUCUUUGACAGCAAUCCUAUUUUUCUAAAUCCAGUCUUAACAAAGACUUAUGACAUGAUUGACGAGGAUUUACCCAUUUUAAGAAAAGCAAUAGGGACUGAUAUAGAAUGGUAUAGUAGAACACGUUUGACACCAAAGCUCAAUGAGAAGAGGGCACUAACAAUUGGGGAAGUUUCUUCAACUUCUUCAGUCCACUCGAAGUCCCCAGAGUUAUAGAUGGAAAAGCGGUUUCUGAACUUAUUAGGAGGAUGAUUCCAAGUCAUACUAGUAUGAUUGUUCCAGAUGAUACAUGUGUUCUUUAAAUUCCCAAAUUUUGUGUUCGUUUGAUGUUUGGACCAUUAUACUGAGUAACUGAGGUAUUCCUCUUUUUUUUUUCCUUAUGUUCUUGACAUUGUUCUUUAUAGGUCAACCAUUCGAGAGGUACGUCAUUCCCCAUGCUGUGUCAUAGUUUGCAAAAAAGUAAAGAGAACCUUUUUUCUCCUUUAAUAUUUAAUAGGCUCAUCAUCCUCUCUCUCUCUCUCUCAAUUUUUAUUGUAUUUAAUUUUACAGUGGCCCAACUUCUGCCACCUCUCUCCUCAGUAGUUCACCUAUCAGAAUAUCCAAUCUUGCCUCUGGAGGAGUUCUCAAUGACCAGGCAGUGCUAGUGAGCGCUUUCAAUAGGAAACUUGAUAAACUGGAGGAAGAGUUUUUCAAAAAGAGAGGAGCACUUAGAGCCAAGUACGAAGAAUUGUAUGAACAUCUCUACAACAAGCAAAUCGUGCUCAAGUGAGGGAGUCAAAUCAAGGUAGAUCAAACAGAAAGACAAGCAAUGCAACUUGCAGAGUGAGUUGAUGGCUGCAAAGUCUACUGCAGCUCAGCAAUGAGGAGUUAAGAGAUAGUCAAAGCUGGUGUCGCUCAGCAAAAUGAAGAGUUAGAGGCAGUGAAGGCUAGAGCCGCUGCACAAAAUGAAGAGUUGGAGGCACUAAAGGCAAGACAAAAUUAUACCGACAUACUUUUACUUAAAUUGACGGCGUAGUUAUCCUCUCAAAACUGAUGAUUGGUCUAAGCUUCAAAAAAGUACAUCUUGCAAACUACCAUUGAAGGCUUAUUGAACUUCUAGAAAGACUUGUAUGUAUUUCGAUUUAUUUUGAAAUUGCUAUUAAGGAUGGAUAUUGACAUUUGUAUAUUUUGGAUUUGCAAAUUUAAGUAGUAUUUCAGGAUAGAGAUACAUGUCUUAUAUUGUAUUAAUAUUGAUAUAUAACUGGUUUUUGAGUACAUUUGAUUUUAUGGUGUUGGAGUAUUGAAGGCUA